AAAACACCAAGUCUCGUUACUCCAUCUAUCCAAAUCUUGACAUUCAUAGGCCAAUUGGUUUUCCCACACUGGAGAUGAAAUACGGAAUCUCAGAAUCAUGCACUGAGAGAACACCCUUUAAAAUCAUUCAUUGCCCCACAUAUAGGCAAGUAUCCUACUAUCAUGUCUAUAAUGCGCGAUAACCAAUCAUGAGCAAUCACACCGAUUUGUGCAUAGUUUCAAAGCUCUCAAGAAUAUUGUUA
rnacentral:lncRNA from 1 species